UGCCAGCUGCCGCGGUAAUACGGAGGGAGCAAACGUUGUUCGGAUUUACCGGGUGUAAAGGGUGCGUAGGCGGCGAAGUGUGUCAGAUGUGAAAGUCCACGGCUCAACCCCGGAAGUGCACUUGAAACAGCAAGACUUGAAUACGGUAGAGGAGAGAGGAAUUCCUGGUGUAGAGGUGAAAUUCGUAGAUAUCAGGAGGAACACCGAUGGCGAAGGCAUCUCUCUGGGUCGAUAUUGACGCUGAGGCGCGAAGGCGUGGGUAGCGAACGGGAUUAGAUA
rnacentral:rRNA from 1 species